CUGACGCUGAGGCUCGAAAGCGUGGGGAGCAAACAGGAUUAGAUACCUGGUAGUCCACGCCGUAAACGAUGAGUGCUAAGUGUUGGAGGGUUUCCGCCUUUCAGUGCUGCAGCUAACGCAUUAAGCACUCCGCCUGGGGAGUACGACCGCAAGGUUGAAACUCAAAGGAAUUGACGGGGGCCCGCACAAGCGGUGGAGCAUGUGGUUUAAUUCGAAGCAACGCGAAGAACCUUACCAGGUCUUGACAUCCUUUGACCACUCUAGAGAUAGAGCUUCCCCUUCGGGGGCAAAGUGACAGGUGGUGCAUGGUUGUCGUCAGCUCGUGUCGUGAGAUGUUGGGUUAAGUCCCGCAACGAGCGCAACCCUUAUUGUUAGUUGCCAUCAUUUAGUUGGGCACUCUAGCGAGACUGCCGGUGACAAACCGGAGGAAGGUGGGGAUGACGUCAAAUCAUCAUGCCCCUUAUGACCUGGGCUACACACGUGCUACAAUGGGAAGUACAACGAGUUGCGAAGUCGCGAGGCUAAGCUAAUCUCUUAAAGCUUCUCUCAGUUCGGAUUGUAGGCUGCAACUCGCCUACAUGAAGCCGGAAUCGCUAGUAAUCGCGGAUCAGCACGCCGCGGUGAAUACGUUCCCGGGCCUUGUACACACCGCCACAUCAACAGCCACGAGAGUUUGUAACACC
rnacentral:rRNA from 1 species